AAGCUAACAAAAAUAAGGAGAGGGAGGCCAGGGAGGCCGUCGGAGACCGAGCUGCGCUCUUCCUUGGGUCGAGCCUGUAUCCACAAACACCACGUCCUGCACACAGCCAUCACCAGUCUCCAUGUUCUUCAAAUGUCGCUGGGCUCCUCCUCUUUUUCUAGUUCUCCUUUGAAAUGGUAGCUGGAUUUAAGACUGUCAUGCUGGCUGGCUCUCAUCUAAUAUCUCUUUGAGAUGGGUUUUGGAAGACAUCAAGGGGAGAUUUCUCAACCUUAUACACUUCAAACAAGUCUUUGUUGGGCCAAGAUGGAGUGGAAUGAUCCAACAUCUGUCUGCCUGUCCUGCCUGAGCUUCAGCCAAGUAGGAUCUCAGA
rnacentral:lncRNA from 12 species